AAAUGCUUCCCCAAUUGCUCCUCCAGCUAAGCCUCGUGCUAAGCUUUCAAAACAGAACUAACUGGGGUAGACAGAAAUGCAAUAGGGGGCACCCUGCCAUGGCCUCUGGCCCCAGAUGACCCCAGAACUUUCUUCUUGCACCAUGCAGCCAACGGUGGCCUUAAACUCCUGAUCCUGAUGCUCCUGCCUCUAUCUCUAGAGUGCUGGGUUUAUAUGCACGUGUCACCAUGCCCAGCUCACGUGGUGGGCCCUUCAAGAACUGGAACUUCGUAGUCCUCAUCCAGUGGCUGAUGGAAGCAGAGACAGACAUCCACAGAAAUACACUGAGC